rnacentral:rRNA from 1 species
UGAGCAAUCUGCCCUUCUUUUCGGAAUAAGCGUUGGAAACGACGUCUAAUGCCGAAUACGACCUCCUUUCGCAUGAUCGGAGGUGGAAAGCUCCGGCGGAGAAGGAUGAGCUCGCGGCCUAUCAGCUAGUUGGUGUGGGUAAUGGCCCACAAGGCGACGACGGGUAGCCGGCCUGAGAGGGUGACCGGCCACACUGGGACUGAGACACGGCCCAGACUCCGUACGGGAGGCAGCAGG